rnacentral:rRNA from 2 species
GAUUUUGUUACGGUCCUUAAUUUACACUACGGUUUUUAAUCAUGGAAUUUAUUGAUAGCCCAGCUACGAAAAUUUGGCGCGUUGAGAAAUCAAGCACAAGAAACCGUUUUACUUAGGGCCCAGCUAGUGCCAGCAGCCGCGGUCAUACUAACCUAGGGAGUAAAUAAUAUAAGUGAAUUGUAAACUAUAUAUAAAGAUACUACGGUGGUAAAAUAUGUUCUAUUUGGUUACAAACAUAAGUAUAAUACAACAACAAAUACAACCACAAACAAGGAUUAGAUACCCUUCUAUGUAGUACGAGAAAAAUAUUCAUUGGGUAUUAAAGUACCUACCCAAACUCAAAUAACAUGGCGGUAAUUUUAACGCUUAGGGGAACUUACCUGAUAAAUGAUAACCACCAAGCGAAGCUACUUUAGGUUAGAUUUUGUAUGCCGUCGUCUAGAUUAAAUAUGAUAUUUAAUCCUAAGUAAUCCCUAACUUAUGACAGAUCUAGGUGCAGACCAUCCUAAAGAUAAGGCGAGUUACAUUAAUAAUUUAUUUCUAUUGGUAGAUUUAUAAUACCUAACUAGUUGGACUUAAUAGUAAGAGUUCUAUUAUAAUUACGAUCUGAAUUUAAAUAAAAUUGUGC